GGGAAGGGGGAAAAAUAAGAACCAAGAGAGUAUGUAAAGGUGCAUAUCUCCAAUGAUGAAUGUCAUUAUAUUGUACACCUAAAAUGUACCAAUAAAAGGAUAUACAAAAAAAAAAUCCAUAGGUGGGGAUUAGUUUUAUAUCCUGCAAUAUAGAGUAUACUAAAUGACAAUUUGGAGUCCCAAUCAUGCAUUUAAUAUGUCUUGAAUAUUUUAAAUGACUUCUAUUCCCAUGUUGCUUUUAGUAGAAUUGUUUCCUAAAGAAAAUGACUUCCUGAUCAUUGCCCUGUCAGAAUUGUGUGCACUUUGUAAUAUCUGUUUUGGUCAUGCUGAUCCAUUUUGCCUCAUUUUGUUAAUAUGCUGUGAAAGGUGGAAAAUUUGAGUAUGUAGUGUAUACGAUAUGAAAUUGUGAAUUGGUGAGACUUAAGUAACACUUCAUCAGCAUUCAAAGAUACUGGUACUUAAUCCUCUGAUGGAAAAUUUGCCUCCAAAUUUGAAGGUGGAAAGUCAAUGGAAUAAUUGAAAAAGAGACAAUACAUACUUUUUUAGAUUUUUCGGUAUGCAUGUUACAAAUUGUGUACAAAGUGAAGUGUCUGUACUGAUCCUCAACACAACCAAUAAAAUCUCAAAUGUGGAAAAAAAAGAAUAAUAUGCUCAGUGCAGACUCAUUUGAUGAAGAGGAGGUCUUCAAUAAUUUUGUUUGCUCUUUGUGUUCAUUCUUUUCUUUUGCAAAACUACAAAAUUUGUUUUUUAAUGUAGGGUGCUUUGUCUCCAUGUAGUGAAGCAGUUUUGAAGGUUUUGUAGUUUUAUUGGAUAGCCAGUUGCCACCUAUUAUGCAAAGUAAGCUUGGAAAAUGUAACUCACUUGUUGCAAUAAACCUAUUUAAGUAUGACUCUUGUCAUUUUCUCUUAAACUUCCGUAUUGUUUUUUCACAGUGACUGUGUGCUAGUAUUCCCUUUUCUCCACAUCCUUGUCACCAAUUCUUAUAUUUUUGAAAAAAGAAAACUUUUUCUAAAGAGAGAAUUGAACAUAGAUAAAUCAGUUAUGUAAGACCCUAGGGAAAUUGAAAAUCAAAGGAACUGUUUUCUGUUUCUCUAAUUUCCCUUAGAAAAUGGCAUCUUUGUCCGUGAGUCAGUGUUGGGCUCUGGGUUUCUUACAGAACUGAGGAGCCAUGUAACCUUGGUCUGGUAUUUAACUUCCAUGGGUCUCAAGUUUCCUCAUCUGAAAAAUAGGUAAUAAAAGUAUCUACUUCAUAGGAUUGCUGUGAAAAUGAAAUUAGCAUGUGUAAAGCACUUAGAACAUGGCCUGCCACAUAAUAAAUAUUGCAUAAAUAUUAACUAUUGUUCUAAUGUGGUCACAAUCCUGUAGAUAUUGGGUUUUCAUGAGAGGAUUGGAUCAUGUUUAUCUCCUCUGGAAGAGAAAGGAUUUGAAAAGCUGAAGACUUAAAUAUGCAGGUUUAUCCUGGGACAAGUGUUCUCUUGGAGCCCAGAGAAGCAUUUAGGAAAGCAGAACAGAAGCUAAAUGGCAUGAAGAAAGGAGGGAAUCUUCCUACAGGUGUCUCAUGAAAAGACUCAAAAUGUGUGGGUAUCACAAGUGGCCAGUGGUGCUUAUUCUAAUAAUAAAGUGAAACAUGAUUCCCUACUCUUGGCUGGGCUAUAGACAAUUAGAGGGAAGGCUCAGGUCUGAACCUGGUCCUGGACGGUGGGUACCAGGAUCCCUAAAACUCUGAAAGUAAUCUGCAUAAAGCACUCUAAUUGUCUGGGGCUAUAGCUCAGUUAUGGGGCACUUGCUUAGCAUGUGCAGGACUCUAGGUUUGAUCUUCCCAACACACACACACACACACACACACACACACACACACACACACACACACACAUGGAAACAUCCCCAAAACAUUAAGCUAGAAGGGAUAGUAGUGUCCUCUGAGAACACUCCAGAGAUACAGAGAUAUGAGAAGGGAACAAUAGUUUAGUCAGAAUGGGUUAAAAUAGGCUACAAUAGCUACUAGGCUUUCCAGUGGCCAGACACAAGGUUUUUUGGUUGGUCAUAUAAUUUUCAAUAAAGUCAGUUUUCCCUCUUAGUCUUGCAGCUGUAACAUCCAGAAUAUAGGAACUUCAGAGUUGCCACUGUUUGGGAAAAAUCUCAUAGGAUAUUUUAAACAGGUGGGCUUAGAAGUGCCUUAGGAAACACUCAUGUCUCUCUGGGGAGACUAAGUCAUAAAGCCAAGACAGAAGUCACAGUACUUUUAAUGCACAGUCUCUGUUACAAACCAUCACUUUCGUCUUAUGUUAGAUAUUAAAAAUGAAUCAUUAAUUCCAGCUCAUACUCAAGAAAAGGGGAAUUAAACUCCAUCUCUUAAAAAGGAAUAUGAGAUCCCUCCCACCACUCCCAGCACAGAGGAAAGGGCUUUUGGGCCACCAUCCAUCCCACCAUUCCUAGCCCAGAGUAAAGGGCUUUUGGGCUGCCAUCCAUCCUGCCAAUUCCAGACCAGAGGAAAGGGCUUUUGGGCUGCCAUCUGUCCUGCUGCUCCCGGCCCAGAGGUAAGGGCUUCUGAGCUGCCUCCCAAUGCUCCUGGUCCAGAGGAAGGGGCUUCUCGGCCACCAACCCUCCCGCCAUUUCCAGCCCAGAGGAAAGGGCUUCUGGGCUACCAUCCCUACCGCCACUCCCAGCCCCUGUCCCAUCUCUCCCAGCUCAGAGGAGGUGAGCCGCACAGGUGCCAACAGCACCCUCUCUGCCCCCCCCCCAGUCAAAAUGAGAAAACACAUAAAUAAGUCUCAAAACCAGACUUCCAGAUCACCUACAGCAACCCCAAAGGGAAAUGAGCUGGAACACUCUGAUACUCAACCACCUGGACCCACUGAACUGGCAACAAAAGGGGAUCUGGAAAAAAUGAAAUCAGAAAUAAUUUCUCAGACAACAGGAGAAAUUGCUCCUAGUGCAAGACAUGAUUAAUCUAUGGAGGAGCUAAGGAACAUGAUGGAAUCCCAACAUAGGAAACAAGUGGAAUCCAUAAAACAGAUACAAAUAGAUUUCCAGAACAUGAAAAAUUCCACUGAAAGUCUACACAGCAGAAAGACCAAUGUGAGGACAGAAUUUCAGAUAUAGAAGAUAAGAUUGCAAUUAAUGACCAGGAAAAGAAAAAUUGCUUCAAAAUUAUAAGGGAACAUGAGAAAUCAAUCCAGCAGCUGCUAGACGAUGCAAAGAAGAAUAACAUAACACUGAUUGGACUCAAUGAAGAAAGAGGAGAGAGUGCAGAUGACAUAAAAAACUUUUCACAGAAGUAAUGGCAGGAAACUUCCCAAGCAGGGGAAAAGAGCUUGAUAUACAGAUAAGUGAGGCAUAUAGGACUCCUAAUAGCCUUGAUAAAAAAAAUCUACACAAAGUCAUAUCAUUGUUAAGAUUCCAGAAACUCAACAGAAGAACAAAGUUCUACAAGCAGUGAGAGAAAAGCAACAAAUCACCUACAAAGGAAAGCCCAUCAGAAUCACAGCAGACUUCUCAACACAAACCAUCAAGGCAAGAAGAGCUUGGAGUGACAUAUGCCAAGCCCUAAGAGAAAACAGCCUCCAACCCAGAUUGAUGUACCCUGCAAAACUAUCUUUCAAAAUGGAUGGAGAAAUAAGAUACUUUCAUGACAAAGAGCACCUUAGGAACUUUGUGAAUGCCAAACCAGCACUCCAAAAAAAUUUUACACAAUAUCCUAGGAACAGACACUGAAGAUCACAACCCCAGGAAGCAAAGCAGAAUGAACCCAUCUAGCAUGACAAGAAAUUAAACGUAAAGGGGGAGAAUCCAACAAAAAGAAAAAAUCAUGGCAAUGACAAGUCAGUAUGUUUCAGUUAUACCCAUCAACUGGAGACUGGAUCAAGAAAGUACCCUUGCCCAGCCCUCCCUUCAACCCCACUAGUCCUCCCUAUUUACAAAGAUUUUGUUCCUAUUUUUCCAUUUUCUCAAAUUAAUCCCAUUCCCUUCUAUCCUUUCCCCUAGCCCUCCCACUUCCUUCCCCUUUGCCCCUUUUCUUCCUAUUUCACAUUACAUAUUAUACAUUUAGUCCUUAUUUACACUUUCAGUUUCUCACACCAGAGAAACUAUUUGGUAUUUAUUCAUGUGUGUCCUAUUUAUUUCACUUAAGAGUAUCAUCUCAAUGUGCAUCCACUUAGCUAUAAAUGUCUCUAAUUUCUCAUUUUUUAUGGCUGACUAGUACUCUAUUUUAGAAAGAAACCACAUUUUCUUUAUCCAGUCUCCAGUUGAUGGGCAUUUGGGCUGUUUCCAAGUUUUAGCUAUUACAAACUGCAUUGCUAUGAACAUGGGCGCACAUAUAUCACUGUGGUAUGAUUCUUUUAAUUCUUUGGGGAAGAUCCCCAGCAGUGGAAUAGUGGGGUCAAAUGGGACUUCCAGUCCUAGUUCUUUGAGGUAUCUCCAUACUGAUUUCCACAGUGGUUGCACCAGUCUACACUCCCACCAGCAGUGGAGCAGGGUUCCUCUUUCCCCACAGCCCCGCCAGCAUUUGUUAUUGGUUGAUUUCAUGAUAGCAGUCAUUCUUUCUGGAGUGAAGUGGAAUCUCAGCGUUGUUUUCAUUUGCAUCUCUUGAAUGACCAGUGAUGUUGAACAUUUUUUCAUGUGUUUAUUUGCUGUUUCUACUUCUUUGUCUGAGAAAUGUCUGUUCAUUUCAGAUGCCCAUUUUCAGAUUGGGUCUUUAAAUUUGGGAGGUCUGAUCUUUUUAGGUUCUUUAUAGAUUUGAGAUAGUAGACCUUUAUCUGCGGAAGAGCAGGUGAAGAUUUUUUCCCACAUUGUGGGUUGUCUCUUCACACUGCUGGUGGUUUCUCUUGCUGUGCAGAAGCCUUUUAAUAAGAAGAGAUCCCACUUGUUGAUUGUUUGUGCUAGUUCAUGGGCAACUGAGGUUUUGUUCAUAAAAUCUUUUCCCACACCAAUGUCUUCAAGGGUUCUACCUAACCUAUGUUCCAACUGGUUCAGAGUUUCUAUUUUAAUAUUUAGAUCUUUAAUCCAUUUUGAUUUUAGUUUAGUGCAUGGCGAGAGAUAUAGGUCUAGUUUUAAUCUUUGGCAAGUUGAAAUUCAAUUUUUCCAGCACCAUUUAGUAAAGAGGCUAUCUUUCCUCCAGUGAGGGUGUUUGGCUCCUUUGUCGAAGAUGAGAUGGCUGAGUGUGUCUGGCAUUGUUUCUGCAUCUUCUAAUCUGUUCCACUGGUCCUCAAGUCUGUUCCUUUGUCAAUACCAUGUUGUUUUUAUCACAGUAGCUUUGUAGUAGAGUUGCAGGUUUAGGACUGUGAUACCCCCUGCCAUGUCUCUGUUACCUAGAAUUGCUUUUGCUAUUCUGGGUCUCUUCUUCUUCCAAAUGAAUUUUUGGAUUGUUUUCUCAAGGUACAUGAAGUAUGGUGCUGGGAUUUCAAUUGGGAUUGCAUUGAAUCUAUAUAGCAGUUUUGGAAGUAUGGCCAUUUUCACUAUGUUGAUUCUUCCUACUCAGGAGCAAGGGAUGCCUUUCCAUUUUCUGAUAUCAUCUUCAAUCUUUCUUUUCCAAGUGCUUUCAUUUUCAGAGAAGAGUUCUUUGAUUUCUUUCAUUAGGUUGAUUCCUAGGUAUUUCAGUUUUUUGGAUGCUAUUAUGAUAGGAUUUGUUUGCCCUAUUUCUGUCUCAGUGAAUCUGUUGUUCAUGUAGAGGAAAGAUAUUGGUUUUUGUGUGUUGACCUUAUAUCCAGCUACUCUAUGGAAUUUGCUUAUUAAGUCUAGAAGACUUUUGGUGGCAUUCUUGGGGUCUUCUAUAUAGAGUGUCAUGUCAUCUGCAAAUAAUGACAAUUUGACUUCUUCAUUACCUAUCUUUAUUCCUUUUAUUUCUUUCUUUUGUCUAAUCGCCAUGGCUAAUGUUUCUAAAACUAAAUUGAACAGGAGUGGUGAUAGUGGACAUCCUUGUCAUUCCUGGUUUUAGUGUGAAGGAUUUCAGUUUUUGACCAUUUAGUAUGAUACUGGCUGUUGGUUUUUCAUAGAUGGAUUUCAUCAGGUUGAGGUAGAAACCAUCUAUUCUAAUUUUUUGUAGGGGUUUUUUUUUUAUCAUAAAUGCAUGUUGGAUUUUGUCAAAUGUUUUUUCUGUAGCUAUUGAGAUGAUCAUAUGAUUUUUGUUUUUAGCUCUAUGGAUAUAAUGUAUUACAAUGAUUGAUUUGCAUAUGUUGAACCAUCCCUGUAUCCCUGGGAAUAAUCCCACUGGGUCAGGGUGUAUGAUUUUCUUGAUGAUCUCCUGCAUUCUAUUUGCCAGUCUCUUAUGAAGGAUUUUUGCAUCUAUGUUCAUUAGUGAGAUUGACCUAUAGUUCUCUUUUUCAGUUGGGUCUUUCUCUGCUUUGGAGUUCAAGGUGAUACUUGCUUCUAGGAAUGAAUGUGGGAGGAUUUCUUCCCUUUCAAUUUCACAGAAGAGCUUAAAGAGUAGGGGCAAUAGUUCUUCUCUAAAUGUCUUGUAGAAUUCAGCAGUGAAGCCAUCAGGGCCUGGGCUUUUCUUCAUUGGUAAGUUUUUAAUUAUGUUUUCAAUUUCAUUGAUUGUUAUUGGAUUGUUUAAAAUUUUUAGGUGUUCUUUGUUCAACUUUGGUAAUUCAUAUAUAUCUAGCAAUCUGUCCAUUUCUUUUGUGUUUUUCGUCUUAUUGAUGUAAAGGUUCUCAAAGUAGGUACUGAUCCUCUGGAUUUCUGCUAGGUCCAUUUUAAUUUCACCCUUUUCAUUCCUAAUUGCAUGGAUUUGGGACUUUUCUUUCCUUUUUUUGAUAAGGUUGCCUAAGCGUUUUCUUCAUUCAUUUUUUGUAUUGUUCUUUGUCUUCAUUGCAUUGAUUGCUGCUCUGAUCUUUAUAAUUUCCUCCCUUGUAUGAGCUUUGGGCUUGUCCUGCUCUUCUUUUUCUAGAAGCUUGAGUAAGGUUCAGCAUCAGGUUGUUUCUUUGAGCUCGCUCUGUUUUCCUAAUAUGAGUAUUCACUGCUGUGAAUUUCCCUCAUAAGACUGCUUUCAUUGUGUCCAAUAGAUUCCGAUAUGUUGUAUUGACAUUGUUAUUUUAUUGAAGGAACUGUCUGAUUUCUUCUGUGAUCCAUUGGAUAUUCAGAAGUGUGUUGUUCAAUAUCCAUGUGUUUAUGAAAUUCUUGAAGUUUCUUUUGCUAUUGAUCUCCAGUUUCAUCGCACUAUGGUCUGAUAAUAUACAGGGGAUAACUUCAGUUCCUUUGCACUUACUUAAACAUGUUCUAUGAGCAAGUAUGUGGUCUAUUUUGGAAAACAGGGUAUUAAAGAUAAUGUACUUUCAGAUUCUCACAGGAUGCUGCUGUAUGUCAUGCAUUAACUAAGGGGACUCCCAUGGGGGAAGGGGAAGGUGACCACCUGGAAUCAUUCAACUUUGUACAAAUGGAGUCAGGCUGGCUAUCACAAUAAUCUCUGCUUGCCUGGGGAGCUUGGCCAUACUAGGUAUUCUAAUAGUAUAGCUUAGAGUAGGGGCUGGCCAUACUAUAAAGACCAGCAAUAAGCAUUUAAGAACUUGGGGCCAUCCUGGAGUGGCUGGAGACUGAAUCCAGCUGUGGGCAGCUGGGUGGGCCUGCACAGUGGACCUCAAGUGAGCACCCUGCUCUCCAUAGUUGGGUGAGCCACCACACUCUGCACUGUCACCCUCAAAUGCCAGAGUCCAUGGAUCCUGAAUUGCUGUAGACAGUAUCAUGAAAGCUCAGGUUUGAGUUCAAACCUGAAUGUGCCAUUAGGAGGUGGGCUCUGGUUGGAGGUAGGCCACCCUGGAAGAGUGUGUUCUUGGCCCUGGCUCCUCCCUUCUCUCUCUUUGCAUCUUGGCUGCCAUGGUAUGAACAACUUUCCUUCACCAUAUGUCAUUUCUGCCUUGGAACCUACCAACCAUAGACUGAAACCAUGAGCAAAAAAACCCCCUUUCCUUAGAAGUGCAGGUGUAGGGUAUUUUGUCCCAGUGACAAAAAGGCUGACUAACAUGAUGAUCCAAAAAUCUGAAGAACUGCUAGUCUGGGGCUAACACCAUUAGGUCCACCUGGCAGGAAGCCCAUCAUUUCUACCUGUUCAGGUUUAACCCACAAGGUGAUUGAAGAUUGGAUUAUGGCCAGAGUAUACUUAGCUCAGGAUGCUUUCUACCCACUUAGAAGCUUUCUCUGCCUGGCAGGGGGGUAGAGAGAAGGAAGAUGGGAACAUAGUCCUGGGAUAGCAGCCAAAGGUGUGAAACCUUUUCCACCGAGCUGACAGGCAAAUAGGUAAGUAAUUGGCUUAUACAAGCAAGUCAGGAAGUUCAACAUCGGAAUUGUGGCCCAGACAGCAUGACCACCAUCUGCUGUAGAAUUCACACUUUCCCAGGCCUCUUUAUUCUAAGUUGGGUCUUGAACUGACCAGAUGAGGCUGGCCCACAUUAUGGAUAGUAAUCUGCUUCACACCAAGUCCAGGAAUUCAAAAGUUAAUUUCAGCUGGGGAUUUAGCUCAGUGGUUCUGAGUUUGAUCCCCAGGGCCAAAAAAAAAAAAGUUAAUAUCCAAAAACAACCACUCAGAACACCCAAAACAAUGUUUGACCAAAUGUCUGGGCAGCCCAUGACCCAUGCGAACUGACAUAAUUAUAUCAGCCACGACAGAUGUCAUGCCAUACUGGACCGAUCUUGUUUCUGUUCUUAGUGUGUGGCCCAUGGAGAGGGUCAGUAAAUAUUUGCUUGAGAAAAGUAAUGAGUUGAAUCAUAUGUACAUAUACAUAGAUAGAGUCAAUGUCAAACUGCCAUAAGUUUGAGACACACAACAUUUUUAAUAGUUUUAAAUUAACAUUAAAUCAACAGUUUAUUCCCUUAGACAUGUUUACCUCUUGUCUUUCUCUUCCUAAUUUGUACUGUAAUACAAUUUUGUAUAACAACUAGGCUAGCUUAGUCCAAGGAAAUUACUUGAGUCCUCAAGUUCAAGGCCAGUCUGGGCCACACUGUGAGUCCCCAUCUCAAAAGAAAAAUUAGGAAUUUGGAACAAAUGAUCUAAAUUUGAGUAUUACCAUGCUUGGCUUAUUUCUAGAAUAUUUGAGCCAGAGGGACCUUGUGUUGAGUGGACCUCCACAUGCUAAGUGGGCCUUCAGGUUCUCUGAUAACCACAAACAGCCCCAGCCAACCCCAUCAGCCUAAGGGGCCCCAAAAGAAGGUUGUGUCCAGAGAGCACUGGGUUUGGCUUCCUAACUAUACUUCUGAGAGUUGAUUCAGCCUUUCCCAGGGCUGAGGCUGCCAUCAUGAGGCCUGUUAGCCUUUGUCCUGACCUGCUGUGUCUGUGCAGCUCUUGGUCAGCUCAUAUGAGCAGGUACUCUACACCUCUGGGCUCAAAUCCCCACAAGGAAAGGAUCCAGAGAGUCCCUCUUUGUUAUGGUUUGGGUCAAGAUGUACCCCUAAAGCCUCAUGCAGUCAUAGGUGGCUUUUUCAGAGGUGGCUGGAUCUAGAGUGUGUGAUGCUGGUACUAAGGGUGUGUGAUUACUAAAUCCGUCCUUUGAUUGGUUUGGCACAGCCCUAAUCCCAGUAGUUCAGAUAAGAUAAACGAGCAACACCAAAAGCUAGAGCUCUACGUGGAGUCACUUGCCUCCAGGCAUGUCCUCCAAGGGACACUCUAAUUCUGGGCAAAUGUGUCCCAAGGUAAGAGCAGAGGUCAGCAAGGCACCACGGGGAAGUUCCUCAGCUUCCCAGCAGAUACCCAUGUUUCAGGCUGAGCCCCAGCACAGGGCUCAGAGCAGACAGCGGCAGCAAGGAAGCAUGUGGGGACAUUGAGCUUUGCUCCCUCAACUUCCAAUGAGAACAGGAAGAUCUGACCUCCACAGAACCCUGUGAGAUGGUGCAGGAGACAGGCUGGAUACAUGGUGGAGAAGACAGGUCCUGGGGGAACUUGUCUAAAGGAGAAAGGAGAUGUGCACAAAGAGGUGGCCUUUGUAGCCCCCCGAUUCAAGAUAAGACAUCUCUGUGGCAUGAAAAACAUCAUGUCCAAAAGAACUGCUGAUUUUCCUAACAGAACACUUGGGAGAUAAGACAAGGGGCUGGCCAGCCCCCUGGAUGAAUCUUCAGAUAUGGGGCUGUUUUCCUGGGGCCCCAGCUCUUCUCUUUUCUUUCUUCUUGGUUGUUGAGGAAGGGAGAAGUUUCUGUAGGAAAAAACAAACAGUAUUUAAAAAUUCAGUGGGAAAGCAUUUAAACUGUUACUCUUAGUUGCUCUUAAGGCUGGGUGUGGGGCAACUCUCAGUUGGAAUGGCUCUGAUUUAAAUGAACACAAAGUUGUCACUCCCUUGAAUAGGGCUGGUAACAAUAUUAACACCAACAAAAAACAAUAGCAUUUACUACUGGCUGAGACAUCUCUAUCCUUUGAAUGCCUUUUAGGCACAUCAGCAGAUCAGGAGAUGAAUGCUGAGGGAAGCCAGGUAGCCUGGCUGAGCUUGUGAGGUCUGUGUGCUCUCAGCUUACACUGCCCACCCUCCCACCCUCCUGGGUCCAGGUCAGUGGCUCUAGAGCCUGGCUUCUUGCCUUCUUUUGGAGUCGGCUAUACAGAGUCUUUGAUGGAUAAUCCAGUCCCAGGGAGAUGAGGUAACCACCUACUCCAUGAGGCACCUUCUGGUGCAGCCUGUGAACCAACCUGACUGUGGGCACAGUCUUGACACAAAGGUUAAACCUUGGAAACACAAAAGAAAAUGAAGCUGAGGCUAGGGACUUAGCUCAGUGGUUCUGCCACCUGCUUCAAAAGUGCAAGGUCCCGAGUUUGAUCCCUGGUAUCCCCCAAAAGAAAGAAAAUGAAGCUGGUCAUAGCAUGGAAAAUGUAGAGGUGCAGGGAACCCUCUUUGGCCUGAGGGAUGGUGACCCAAGGGCCCGUGGUGAGAGCUCCAGGAGGAGCCUGAUUCAGGUCUGAACAAGGAGCUGUUGGCUGCCAAAGUGGCCUCAUCCUUCCCUGCCUUGUGCUACAGCCUAGGAGCGGGACAGUGAAUGUGGAGACUGUCCUCAGAUGAGCUUCUCUGUUUCUCUGGCACAUGAGUCAGAUGAAGAGCUCCUUUCUCUACCCCAGGCUUUUCCCAUUAGUGUACAUAGUAAUUUAUCCACAUUGUUAAUAUUUUGACUUCUGAGAUGUUAGGUGCUAGAUGUGUGUGCAAAAUGUGUAAUAGGAAUGUGUCAAAUGCAUGUAUAUGUUGGACCAUGUUAUGGGCCUACCUUGAACCAGUGUAGUAGUUUAGUUAGGUGGGAUGUGAAUAGAGAGUCAAGGACUCUUCCCUCCAGGAAACUAAAUUAAUCCAUAGUUUUAACAGCUCCUCUCUGUCUUAGACAUAGAUUUCAAACCUGGCCUGGAGAGAGAAAGAAAUGCAAGAUAACCAGUUUUCUUUUGAACUCCUCUCUUUGAAGCACCCCGCCACACACACAAAGCUAGGGCAAAUAAUGUAUGUUGGACUUCUUUCCUUUCUUGGUAUCCACUAAGAGCUUUUCAGUUAUUAUUGUCAAUAAACUCUCUCCUACAUUUCCUCUUUUAUCUUCAAAUUUAUUAAUUUUGGGAACAGAGAACCCAGGUUUAUACAAAAUGAGCUGUGUCACUGGGCCAGUGUGACACAGAGUCAACAGCCACAAGUGAUGGCUCCAAGCACUCCAUGAGGACUUUCUCGAUGUUACCUGUGGGAUAGUGGGG
ensembl:lncRNA